UACGUAGAGUGCGAGCGUUAAUCGGAAUUACUGGGCGUAAAGCGUGCGCAGGCGGUUCGUUGUGUCGGUGGUGAAAGCCCCGGGCUUAACCUGGGAAUGGCCAUGGAAACUGGCGAACUGGAGUGUGGCAGAGGGGGGUGGAAUUCCGCGUGUAGCAGUGAAAUGCGUAGAUAUCAAGAGGAACACCUGCGGCGAAGGCGGGUUGCUGGGCCGACACUGACGCUGAUGCGCGAAAGCCAGGGGAGCGAACGGG
rnacentral:rRNA from 1 species